GAUGAAGAACGUAGCGAAAUGCGAUACGUAAUGUGAAUUGCAGAAUUCAGUGAGUCAUCGAAUCUUUGAACGCACAUUGCGCCCUGUGGUAUUCCGCAGGGCAUGCCUGUUCGAGCGUCAUUUCAACCCUCAAGCUCUGCUUGGUGUUGGGCCCUGCCCGCUGCGGCCGGCCCUAAAGACAGUGGCGGUGCCGCCUGGCCCUGAGCGUAGUACAUCUCUCGCUCCAGUGCCCGGUGGUAGCCUGCCAGAACCCCAACUCUCGUGGUUGACCUCGAAUCAGGUAGGGAUACCCGCUGAACUUAAGCAUAUCAAUAAGCGGAGGA
rnacentral:misc_RNA from 1 species